AUUGAACGCUGGCGGCAUGCCUUACACAUGCAAGUCGAACGGUAACGGGCCUUCGGGUGCCGACGAGUGGCGAACGGGUGAGUAAUACAUCGGAACGUGCCCGAUCGUGGGGGAUAACGAGGCGAAAGCUUUGCUAAUACCGCAUACGAUCUACGGAUGAAAGCAGGGGACCGCAAGGCCUUGCGCGGACGGAGCGGCCGAUGGCAGAUUAGGUAGUUGGUGGGAUAAAAGCUUACCAAGCCGACGAUCUGUAGCUGGUCUGAGAGGAUGAUCAGCCACACUGGGACUGAGACACGGCCCAGACUCCUACGGGAGGCAGCAGUGGGGAAUUUUGGACAAUGGGCGCAAGCCUGAUCCAGCCAUGCCGCGUGCAGGAUGAAGGCCUUCGGGUUGUAAACUGAUUUUGUACGGAACGAAAAGCCUUCUUUUAAUACAGGAGGGUCAUGACGGUACCGUAAGAAUAAGCACCGGCUAACUACGUG
rnacentral:rRNA from 1 species